GACGAACGCUGGCGGCGUGCUUAACACAUGCAAGUCGAACGGAAAGGCCUCUUUCGGGGGGUACUCGAGUGGCGAACGGGUGAGUAACACGUGAGUAACCUGCCCUUGACUUUGGGAUAACUUCAGGAAACUGGGGCUAAUACCGGAUAGGAGCUCCUGCUGCAUGGUGGGGGUUGGAAAGUUUCGGCGGGUGGGGAUGGACUCGCGGCUUAUCAGCUUGUUGGUGGGGUAGUGGCUUACCAAGGCGUUGACGGGUAGCCGGCCUGAGAGGGUGACCGGCCACAUUGGGACUGAGAUACGGCCCAGACUCCUACGGGAGGCAGCAGGGGGGAAGAUUGCACAAUGGGUGGAAGCCGGAUGCAGCAACGCCGUGUGCGGGAUGACGGCCUUCGGGUUGUAAACCGCUUUCGCUCAUGACGAAGCUUUGUGUGACGGUAGUGGGUAAAGAAGCACCGGCUAACUACGUG
rnacentral:rRNA from 1 species